UACGGAGGGUGCAAGCGUUGUUCGGAAUCACUGGGCGUAAAGCGCACGUAGGCGGAUCUUUAAGUCAGAGGUGAAAUCCCAAGGCUCAACCUUGGAACUGCCUUUGAUACUGGGGAUCUUGAGUCCGGGAGAGGUGAGUGGAACUGCGAGUGUAGAGGUGAAAUUCGUAGAUAUUCGCAAGAACACCAGUGGCGAAGGCGGCUCACUGGCCCGGUACUGACGCUGAGGUGCGAAAGCGUGGGGAGCAAACAGG
rnacentral:rRNA from 1 species